rnacentral:rRNA from 1 species
CUUUAAAGGAUUUCUUCGGAAUGAAUUUGAUUAAGUUUAGUGGCGGACGGGUGAGUAACGCGUGAGUAACCUGCCUCUAAGAGGGGAAUAACAUUCUGAAAAGAAUGCUAAUACCGCAUAACAUAUAUUUAUCGCAUGGUAGAUAUAUCAAAGAUUUAUCGCUUAGAGAUGGACUCGCGUCCGAUUAGUUAGUUGGUGAGGUAACGGCUCACCAAGACCGCGAUCGGUAGCCGGACUGAGAGGUUGAACGGCCACAUUGGGACUGAGACACGGCCCAGACUCCUACGGGAGGCAGCAGUGGGGGAUAUUGCGCAAUGGGGGAAACCCUGACGCAGCAACGCCGCGUGAAGGAUGAAGGUCUUCGGAUUGUAAAGUUCUUUUAUUAAGGACGAAGAAAGUGACGGUACUUAAUGAAUAAGCUCCGGCUAACUACGUGCCAGCAGCCGCGGUAAUACGUAGGGAGCAAGCGUUGUCCGGAUUUACUGGGUGUAAAGGGUGCGUAGGCGGCUUUGCAAGUCAGAUGUGAAAUCUAUGGGCUCAACCCACAGCCUGCAUUUGAAACUGCAGAGCUUGAGUGAAGUAGAGGCAGGCGGAAUUCCCCGUGUAGCGGUGAAAUGCGUAGAGAUGGGGAGG